rnacentral:rRNA from 1 species
AUUGAACGCUGGCGGCAUGCCUUACACAUGCAAGUCGAACGGCAGCACGGGUGCUUGCACCUGGUGGCGAGUGGCGAACGGGUGAGUAAUACAUCGGAACGUACCUUAUCGUGGGGGAUAACGCAGCGAAAGCUGUGCUAAUACCGCAUACGCCCUGAGGGGGAAAGCGGGGGAUCGAAAGACCUCGCGCGAUUAGAGCGGCCGAUGCCUGAUUAGCUUGUUGGUGGGGUAAAAGCCCACCAAGGCGACGAUCAGUAGCUGGUCUGAGAGGAAGAUCAGCCACCCUGGGACUGAGACACGGCCCAGACGCCUACGGUAGGCAGCAGUGGGGAAUUUUGGACAAUGGGGGCAACCCUGAUCCAGCAAUGCCGCGUGAGUGAAGAAGGCCUUCGGGUUGUAAAGCUCUUUUGUCAGGGAAGAAACACCGGCUCUAACACAGUCCGGGAAUGACGGUACCUGAAGAAUAAGCACCGGCUAACUACGUGCCAGCCGCCGCCGUAA